rnacentral:rRNA from 1 species
AGCUUAGAGAGCUUGCUUUUUAAGCUUAGUGGCGAACGGGUGAGUAACGCGUGAGUAACCUGCCCUAGAGUGGGGGACAACAGUUGGAAACGACUGCUAAUACCGCAUAAAGCAUAGAGAUCGCAUGGUUUUUAUGCCAAAGAUUUAUUGCUGAAAGAUGGCCUCGCGUCUGAUUAGCUAGUUGGUGAGGUAACGGCCCACCAAGGCGACGAUCGGUAGCCGGACUGAGAGGUUGAACGGCCACAUUGGGACUGAGACACGGCCCAGACUCC